AACGAACGCUGGCGGCAUGCCUAACACAUGCAAGUCGAACGAGACCUUCGGGUCUAGUGGCGCACGGGUGCGUAACGCGUGGGAAUCUGCCCUUGGGUCCGGAAUAACAGUUAGAAAUGACUGCUAAUACCGGAUGAUGACUUCGGUCCAAAGAUUUAUCGCCCAGGGAUGAGCCCGCGUCGGAUUAGCUUGUUGGUGAGGUAAAAGCUCACCAAGGCGACGAUCCGUAGCUGGUCUGAGAGGAUGAUCAGCCACACUGGGACUGAGACACGGCCCAGACUCCUACGGGAGGCAGCAGUGGGGAAUAUUGGACAAUGGGCGAAAGCCUGAUCCAGCAAUGCCGCGUGAGUGAUGAAGGCCUUAGGGUUGUAAAGCUCUUUUACCCGGGAAGAUAAUGACUGUACCGGGAGAAUAAGCCCCGGCUAACUCCGUGCCAGCCGCCGCUGUAA
rnacentral:rRNA from 1 species